AGCAGUAGCCGCGGUAAUACGUAGGUCCCGAGCGUUGUCCGGAUUUAUUGGGCGUAAAGCGAGCGCAGGCGGUUAGAUAAGUCUGAAGCUAAAGGCUGUGGCUUAACCAUAGCACGCUUUGGAAACUGUUAAACUUGAGUGCAAGAGGGGAGAGUGGAAUUCCAUGUGUAGCGGUGAAAUGCGUAGAUAUAUGGAGGAACACCGGUGGCGAAAGCGACUCCCUGGUCUGUAACUGACGCUCAUGCACGAAAGCGUGGGGAGCAAACAGGAUUAGAUACCCGGGUAGUCCCUGUCUCUUAUACA
rnacentral:rRNA from 1 species